GGCGGAAUGUGCAGUGUAGCGGUGAAAUGCAUAGAGAUCGCACAGAACACCGAUUGCGGAGGCAGCUUACUAAGCCAUAACUGACGCUGAGGCACGAAAGCGUGGGGAGCGAACAGGAUUAGAUACCCUGGUAGUCCACGCUGUAAACGAUGUUCACUCGCUGUUUGCGAUACACAGUAAGCGGCUUAGCGAAAGCAUUAAGUGAACCACCUGGGGAGUACGAUCGCAAGGUUGAAACUCAAAGGAAUUGACGGGGGCCCGCACAAGCGGAGGAACAUGUGGUUUAAUUCGAUGAUACGCGAGGAACCUUACCUGGGCUUAAAUGUAGGCUGCAUUUCCGGGAAACCGGGAUUCCCUUCGGGGCUGCUUACAAGGUGCUGCAUGGUUGUCGUCAGCUCGUGCCGUGAGGUGUCGGGUUAAGUCCCAUAACGAGCGCAACCCUUAUCGUUAGUUGCUAGCAGGUAAAGCUGAGGACUCUAGCGAGACUGCCACCGUAAGGUGAGAGGAAGGUGGGGAUGACGUCAAAUCAGCACGGCCCUUAUGUCCAGGGCUACACACGUGUUACAAUGGCCGGUACAGAGGGAAGCUACCUGGUGACAGGUUGCCAAUCUUAAAAGCCGGUCUCAGUUCGGAUUGGAGUCUGCAACCCGACUCCAUGAAGUUGGAUUCGCUAGUAAUCGCGCAUCAGCCAUGGCGCGG
rnacentral:rRNA from 1 species